rnacentral:rRNA from 1 species
CUCCUACCUCCGUGUGUCGUCGUCGACGACGUCACGAGAGGUUCGAUUCUGGCUCAGAACGAACGCUGGCGGCGCGUUUAAGCAUGCAAGUCGAGCGGCAAGGGCCUUCGGGCCCCUAGAGCGGCGGACGGGUGAGUAACACGUGGACAAUCUGCCCCCCGGCCCGGGAUAGCCCAGGGAAACCUGGAUUAAUACCGGAUGAGACGGGACCCGCGAUGGCGGGAUCCGGGAAAGGCGCUGCGGCGCCGCCGGGGGGAUGAGUCUGCGUCCCAUUAGCUAGACGGCGGGGUAACGGCCCACCGUGGCGACGAUGGGUAGCCGGCCUGAGAGGGUGGACGGCCACAUUGGAACUGAGACACGGUCCAGACUCCUACGGGAGGCAGCAGCUAAGAAUCUUCCGCAAUGGGCGAAAGCCUGACGGAGCGAACCGCCGCGUGAACGAAGAAGGCCGUGAGGUUGUAAAGUUCUUUUCGGGAGGGGGAACAACCGUGGCAGGGAAUGGCCGCGGGAUGACGUGAAUCCCGGAAUAAGCCCCGGCUAACUACGUGCCAGCCGCCGC